ACUAAGGGUAGAGGCGCAUUGUCUAUAAGUAACUGGCAGUAGGGUGAUUCCGAUGAUAGCCAGAGAAAGGAGCCGAUGCCGAAGUGAGACAGGUCAUCAAGCCUGCUUGCUGGGGUUGUCACCGAAUAGGGGCAACACUGCCAUAGUAUAUAAUUACAUUAACUAUGGAGCGCUACUGUGGGG
rnacentral:ncRNA from 1 species